CCUACGGGAGACUGCAGUGGGGAAUAUUGCACAAUGGGGGGAACCCUGAUGCAGCGACGCCGCGUGGGUGAAGGAGUAUUUCGGUAUGUAAAGCCCUAUCAGCAGGGAAGAACAAUGACGGUACCUGACUAAGAAGCACCGGCUAAAUACGUGCCAGCAGCCGCGGUAAUACGUAUGGUGCAAGCGUUAUCCGGAUUUACUGGGUGUAAAGGGAGCGCAGGCGGCGCGUUAAGCCUGGUGUGAAAGUCCGCGGCCCAACCGCGGGACUGCAUUGGGAACUGGCGCGCUGGAGUGCCGGAGGGGUAGGCGGAAUUCCUAGUGUAGCGGUGAAAUGCGUAGAUAUUAGGAGGAACACCAGUGGCGAAGGCGGCCUACUGGACGGUGACUGACGCUGAGGCUCGAAAGCGUGGGGAGCAAACAGGAUUAGAUACCCCGGUAGUC
rnacentral:rRNA from 1 species